GCCGUUGUAGCUCAAUGCAGAGCGGCGGGCAUUUAACCCGCGUCACACUGACGAUACGCAGAGAUGAUUCCUUCCGGCUCCUGUCAUCCGGGAGGCUGAUGCUCUGUGGUGCUGGUUCAAGUCCAGCCAUCGGCUA
rnacentral:tRNA from 1 species